UGGACCUGAGACACAACCGUGUGAGCUUCAGCUGCUACUUCUCUGGUGCAAAUGGUCUCCGAAUAAGUGAAGCUGCCUCUUCAAUCAAGUCCCACAAAGGUCUUCAAAGAGGUGAAGUCAUUCCUAGCCUGGACUGGAAUCAGGUUUGUUUGAUGAAACACUUCUUGAUGCCGGUAUAGUGUUGAAAGCUGAUCUCCUGUUAUCU